GCAGUCGACGGUACAGGAAGCAGCUUGCUGCUUUGCUGACGAGUGGCGGACGGGUGAGUAAUGUCUGGGAAACUGCCCGAUGGAGGGGGAUAACUACUGGAAACGGUAGCUAAUACCGCAUAACGUCGCAAGACCAAAGAGGGGGACCUUAGGGCCUCUUGCCAUCGGAUGUGCCCAGAUGGGAUUAGCUAGUAGGUGGGGUAAAGGCUCACCUAGGCGACGAUCCCUAGCCGGUCUGAGAGGAUGACCAGCCACACUGGAACUGAGACACGGUCCAGACUCCUACGGGAGGCAGCAGUGGGGAAUAUUGCACAAUGGGCGCAAGCCUGAUGCAGCCAUGCCGCGUGUAUGAAGAAGGCCUUCGGGUUGUAAAGUACUUUCAGCGGGGAGGAAGGGAGUAAAGUUAAUACCUUUGCUCAUUGACGUUACCCGCAGAAGAAGCACCGGCUAACUCCGUGCCAGCAGCCGCGGUAAUACGGAGGGUGCAAGCGUUAAUCGGAAUUACUGGGCGUAAAGCGCACGCAGGCGGUUUGUUAAGUCAGAUGUGAAAUCCCCGGGCUCAACCUGGGAACUGCAUCUGAUACUGGCAAGCUUGAGUCUCGUAGAGGGGGGUAGAAUUCCAGGUGUAGCGGUGAAAUGCGUAGAGAUCUGGAGGAAUACCGGUGGCGAAGGCGGCCCCCUGGACGAAGACUGACGCUC
rnacentral:rRNA from 1 species